rnacentral:lncRNA from 1 species
CCAUGCUCGUGGACAUUUGAAGAAACGACGCCCUCCAUCUAUCCCCUCUGUGUACAUCUGCACCAAACAAUCCUCACCAUGCAUGCAUUUUGGCCACUCUUCUUUUCGGUCAUCAUAUACCCUCAGUGGUGCCUCUUUAGUAAAAUCAUGUUUGCUCUCAAGGGAGAACCUAUCAUAAAUUGCUUCCUCAAAGUCUUUAGGACCAAGAGGACCCUCCCAAACAAAGGGAUUACCCUUCAUCGCCGCCUUUCCCUUUCCCUUCCCUCUAGACGACCC